AGUGAACGCUGGCGGCAGGCCUAACACAUGCAAGUCGAACGGCAGCACAGUGGAGCUUGCUCCAUGGGUGGCGAGUGGCGGACGGGUGAGGAAUACAUCGGAAUCUGCCCAGUCGUGGGGAUAACAUAGGGAAACUUAUGCUAAUACCGCAUACGACCUACGGGUGAAAGCGGGGAUCGCAAGACCUCGCGCGAUUGGAUGAGCCGAUGUCCGAUUAGCUAGUUGGCGGGGUAAUGGCCCACCAAGGCGACGAUCGGUAGCUGGUCUGAGAGGAUGAUCAGCCACACUGGAACUGAGACACGGUCCAGACUCCUACGGGAGGCAGCAGUGGGGAAUAUUGGACAAUGGGCGCAAGCCUGAUCCAGCCAUGCCGCGUGGGUGAAGAAGGCCUCGG
rnacentral:rRNA from 1 species